rnacentral:tRNA from 4 species
GGGCGUAUAGCUCAGUUGGUAGAGCGGCGGUCUCCAAAACCGUAGGUCGAGGGUUCAAGUCCUUCUGCGCCCGCCA